UGCAAGUCGAGCGGUAGCACAGAGAGCUUGCUCUCGGGUGACGAGCGGCGGACGGGUGAGUAAUGUCUGGGAAACUGCCUGAUGGAGGGGGAUAACUACUGGAAACGGUAGCUAAUACCGCAUAACGUCGCAAGACCAAAGUGGGGGACCUUCGGGCCUCAUGCCAUCAGAUGUGCCCAGAUGGGAUUAGCUGGUAGGUGGGGUAACGGCUCACCUAGGCGACGAUCCCUAGCUGGUCUGAGAGGAUGACCAGCCACACUGGAACUGAGACACCGUCCAGACUCCUACGGGAGGCAGCAGUGGGGAAUAUUGCACAAUGGGCGCAAGCCUGAUGCAGCCAUGCCGCGUGUGUGAAGAAGGCCUUCGGGGNGUAAAGCACUUUCAGCGGGGAGGGAGGGGAUUAGGUUAAUACCUUGUCGAUUGACGUUACCCCAAAGAAGCACCGGUAAC
rnacentral:rRNA from 1 species